UUUUCUUUCUAUUUUCAUUCCUCACCAAUCCAAUAAUGAUUGCAAAGAACGAAAACAAUUUUGUCAAUUAGUGGAAGCCAACACCCCAAAUACAUCCAACCAUCAUCCGCCACCUUAACGAUAGUUUAUUGACUGAAACCCAAAAAGCAAAUCAAUAACUCUUAACUACAUUUAUUUAUGUAAUUAGGAAUGAUGUUUGUAAACAUGGUUUAGAACUUGUAAGUUUGUAUAAUUGUACAAAGGGUUUGGCUUAGACGACAAUUCAUUACUUAUACUUUAUGGCUUUUAGGUUCAUUUAAUUCAAAAUUGCAUCUACAUCAUAUUGUUUGACUUAAAUUGAAUCAAUUUUAGUUAAAACAAAACAAAAAAAG
rnacentral:lncRNA from 1 species